rnacentral:lncRNA from 1 species
AUCCUCUCUACCACUCAGUCCAGCUUUCUGGCUGCCACCUAAACUUCAGUACCUGGCUUCUCUUGGCCAGAUCGAAGGACUGUAAUAUGAUUUAAGUUGUGAAUAUGCCUUAGUAUGUGAGAUGUCUUUUCAUAUGAGGGAGUUCUUAACCUACUUUAGCUUAAUCACCAGAUCCUUUUGUCUUUUAUGCUAACACAUAAA